CAGCCGCCACGGGAAUACGAAGGGGGCUAGCGUUGCUCGGAAUUACUGGGCGUAAAGGGAGCGUAGGCGGACAUUUAAGUCAGGGGUGAAAUCCCAGAGCUCAACUCUGGAACUGCCUUUGAUACUGGGUGUCUUGAGUGUGAUAGAGGUAUGUGGAACUCCGAGUGUAGAGGUGAAAUUCGUAGAUAUUCGGAAGAACACCAGUGGCGAAGGCGACAUACUGGAUCAUUACUGACGCUGAGGCUCGAAAGCGUGGGGAGCAAACAGGAUUAGAUACCCCCGUAGUCCCUGUCUCUUAUAC
rnacentral:rRNA from 1 species